rnacentral:rRNA from 1 species
UACGGGGGGGGCAAGCGUUGUUCGGAAUUACUGGGCGUAAAGGGCUCGUAGGCGGCCAACUAAGUCAGACGUGAAAUCCCUCGGCUUAACCGGGGAACUGCGUCUGAUACUGGAUGGCUUGAGAUUGGGAGAGGGAUGCGGAAUUCCAGGUGUAGCGGUGAAAUGCGUAGAUAUCGUGAGGAACACCAGAGGCGAAGGCGGCUACCUGGACAAUUGCUGACGCUCAGGCACGAAAGCGUGGGGAGCAAAAGGG